rnacentral:tRNA from 1 species
UAGGAUGGAGUGUAUUGGUAGCACGAAGAAUUUUGAAUUCUUAGGUGUAGGUUCAAUUCCUAUUGUCCUAG